AUCUUUGGCGAAACUGGUAAACGCGUCGGUCUGAAGAACCGAAUAUGCGGGUUCGAUUCCUGCAUGAUCCC
rnacentral:tRNA from 1 species